CUGGAGUUCUCCAAGAGCAGCUGCUGGUCUUAUCUGCUGGCUGUGGCCCCGUGGCAGAGCUGGUCACCAGGCCAGGGACAGGC
rnacentral:snoRNA from 1 species